CUUCCCCAAGGCCCUGCCCUGCCUCUUGCUAGGUUUCCUGCUCCGGAGGGGCUGAGAAAGGGUACUAUCUGGGCAGAAAACAUUAGCAAGAAAGAGUCGGUGCUGCAAGGUCCUGCAGACAACCGAAUUCCAGCGUGCACUGCACUGCCCAGCCAGGCGAAGCAUGGAGAUGGGAGGGAUUCGCUGAAAGCUGGUCACAGUGAAGGACAGACCCAGGGCGGGGAAGUCUGCUCGAGUUUGAGACUAUGUCCUCUGGGCAGCAGUCCCAAAGCGAGGCUGCUGCAGCUCUGCAAGCUGUUCCCAAGCACUGGGUCCAGCAGACCACGCGCUGAUCUCCGGGCUCUGGGUCGCGCAAGUGCCUCCCACCGUGUAACGGAAGCCCUGCAGCAAGGCACAAGUGGCCUUCUCCAGUGCCAGGGUGAAGGGAAGGAGUUUUCAUUCAGACUUUCCGAAAAGAGGUGGAGAAACCUAAAGACUCGGGAGAAGAAGAGGUCCUUUGAGCCAGAUGGACCAUGAGUUCGGCUUCUCUCAGCAUGGCUCAGACCUUGCUUCAAGGUAAGCUGAGCGAUGAGCUCCUCAAGACCUCAGAAUCCUUUCUAUGCAAUGCACAGAUUGCCAUUCAUUCCCGUCAUCGUGCAUGUGUGUGUCUCUCUGUGUAUGUGUGUGUGUGUGUGUGUGUGUGUGAGAGAGAGAGAGAGAGAGAGAGAGCGUGUCUGUGCACGCGCACAAGCUCAAGCGCAUGGAUGAAAUAAAAUGAAAACCGUUCAACUGAGAUUUCAAUGAAACAGCCCCUUGCAGAAAACUAUCCAUGUUAGACAUGGCUAAAUCGAAAGGGAACUUCGAAAUCACUCUUCCUACAGCCCCGAUGUCAAUGGAAUUUCUAGGCUGUUGACCUUAAGGUGAAUUGUGGGGCUUGCCUAAGCCCUGGGUAGCGCAGCCUAACCACCCAAGCUGAGAACAUAGGGGGAACCCGUGCUGAGGCCAGUCUGGCUGCCCAGCGGGCAUCCUGUCAGUGCAGGGCUAGUCUCCGAUUGGCUCACAAGUCUGGGCUGUGCAUCGCUCAGAUUUCAUCACAUCACCUUGCUCUGGGUAGAAAUGGUGCAAGCUGACACGGCAUAACCCCUACUUACAUUGAGUCAGAGCAAGGAUUUAGAAACCUUUGGAUCCAG
rnacentral:lncRNA from 1 species